AUCCAGAUGACGAGACCCAAAUAGGACGAAAUGCGCAUCCUGGAU
rnacentral:hammerhead_ribozyme from 1 species